rnacentral:rRNA from 1 species
ACGGGUGAGUAACGCGUAGGAAUCUACCCUAAAGAGGGGGACAACCCGAGGAAACUCGGGCUAAUACCGCAUAAUCUCGAAAGAGCAAAGCUGGGGCAACCUGGCACUUUAGGAGGAGCCUGCGUCCGAUUAGCUAGUUGGUGAGGUAAAAGCUCACCAAGGCGAUGAUCGGUAGUUGGUCUGAGAGGAUGAUCAGCCACACUGGGACUGAGACACGGCCCAGACUCCUACGGGAGGCAGCAGUGGGGAAUAUUGGACAAUGGGGGCAACCCUGAUCCAGCAAUGCCGCGUGUGUGAAGAAGGCCUUCGGGUUGUAAAGCACUUUAGUUGGGGAAGAAGGUUAGUUGUUUAAGAGAUGAUUAAUUUGACGGUACCCAAAGAAUAAGCACCGGCUAACUCUGUGCCAGCAGCCGCGGUAAUACAGAGGGUGCAAGCGUUAAUCGGAGUUACUGGGCGUAAAGGGCGCGUAGGCGGUUAUUUAAGUUUGAUGUGAAAUCCCUGGGCUUAACCUAGGAACUGCAUUGGAUACUGGAUAACUGGAGUACUGUAGAGGGUAGUGGAAUUUCCGGU